UAUAAAAAGGUAGCAUGAGAAGGAUAUUUCAGGUGGUGAUGGUAGGAGGGUGAUAGAAGUAUGUGAGGUUUACUGGAUGUGGGCCUAAGGUACAGGCGUAGUCCAAGAACAGCAGAGGGAGUUCUUGCUGCCCGAACUGUUUCCAUCUCAGUCCAGAUUAUCAGAGCCUGUGGUCUGCAAGCAGCAGCCAAGGCUUUGGCUGAACAGGAACCCGCUCUACAGUUUAGUGCCACAGUCGGGGUCAAUGCCUCUGUCACCACUCAUCUCUCCUUCCUGCCCCAGGGAGAACAGCGCCGAACCCACCCUGUGGCCUGUUCUUUCUGCCCUGAGUUCUCCCAUCAUGUUGAGUUCACAUGUAACUUGGUGACUCAGCACUGUAGUGGAGAGGCCUGUUUCCUAGCAGAGUUGUUGGAGUUUGCAGAAGUUAUUUUUGCUGUCUAUCAUGAAAAUACCAAGUCAGGUGAGCACCAUAUGACUUGUCACAAUCAAAAUUAAAAGAGGCUGCAUUGUGAAUGGUAUAGCCCUUCCUAGGAGAUACAUACUGCAGUAUUUAAAG
rnacentral:sRNA from 1 species